rnacentral:lncRNA from 1 species
UUCAUUCUUCUUUUGUUGGAUCUUCUUCACAGCUUCCAAUUCUUCUUGAUGCUUCCUUUGCAUCUCUUCAAGUGCUCUAUCUUGUGCUUCAAAUCUCACAGCUAACUCCCCCCAAUGCCUAUAAACUGAGGAAACAUAACAGCGUGUUGCAUCUUAAUGAGAUGAAAACAUACAAGAUAAAAACGUAUAACAGUACCACUAAGAAGCACAUAAUUUAUCAAAUUAUGAAUCUGAGUACGUUAUUAACUAGAUUUUCGGGUAUGCAGAUGGGCCAAUAAAACGGUAUAUUAGUUUGGCAAAACAAGAAGACACAAACUUGUAUAAAAAUUGUCAGUCAAAAAAAUUUACAUCGAUCCCUGCUGCACUUUUAACUAGUGUGCUACUUAAAGUUCUAAGUAGCAUGUGAAUGACUAGUGAGUCUAGUAGGGCAGCAUAUGACAAUGAACUAUAGUAAUCUACUGAACAUAUUUCAUAAUUAGUUGCAUAAGUAUAGUUGUUUGACGCUUUGGUUACUACAAAAGUUUAGAUCAGCACAUCACUACAAAAACAGAUUGAUAAUGUACUAAAAAAUUGCAGAUCAAAACACAAAAAUGUUUCUUUAGUGAGAAGUGACAGCCAUUCAUCCAUUCAAUGUACUGAACAAUCUCAGAAUAAUGCAAUAUCUGGAGGUCAUCACCCAACCACUACAUGCCACAUUAUUCCUAUUAACUGUAUGUUUUCUCAUCUCUGAAUUGAUUCAGACAUGCUAUGAAUUUGGCCGUUCAUCACCUUAUGUACAACUACGUGCCAUAAGAAACUAGUACUAGUACUAUCUACACUAUUUUAAUCAGUUGUGUGCUUACUCACCUUCCCCAACAGCUACAGCUAAUUGUGUACGUGCACUGGAGUCGUACGAUGCUUACUCAAUAUAAAUAUAACAAAUAAAAAUACAAGUUAAGCAUAAGGAAGGACACGAUGAGCUUAAAUGCUAGGCAUACACAACCAGGUAAGGAAUUAUCAAGUACUUGACUGUAAGAAAACAGAAAGUGGAGAGUUAGUAAAAAGUUUAAGCUUCAGACUUUACCAACAUAGCAAGGUCGAUAAGAUUAUCUUGAUAUUGCAAACCCAGUCCUGCUACCUAUGGUGAGCAGUCGAUUAAUGCGCCUGCGUUAUAGGGGAAUAAAACAGAAGAGACAUAGUAUACUGACAAGUGUUCACAUGGAGAAAAAAUAUUACAGAAUAACAUAAUCAUUUUCUGUUCCACCAAGCAGUAUUAGCAUCUGAAUGAACCUUUUAGUAUAUAGAUUUUUCAGCAGCUAGUAACUAUGGUAUGGCCCAUGAUACAAGCCCUCGGCUAUUCCUAGUAUAGUUGCAUUGUUAAUACUCUGAACGUAGAGUCUAGUCACAUAUUAGAUGUUCUUGAGCAUGCUGGAGAUUGCAUAAUAUUGCAGCUUAAAGGGGAAACUUGAGUUGAAAUUAUUCAUUGUAGAAAUUUAGAGACAGCUCGGAACAAAGAAGUAUGAACCAUACCUUUGAUAAGACCAAAGGACAUUGAUCUUACUCCUGAUCUAGAUGAACUGCAACUAGGAAAAGGAGAUCUCAAAUAAGUGGUUAGAAGAGUCAAAUUCCAGAUCACAAAUCUUACAUCAGGAAAUUAUGGAAGAAAAAGGAACCAGCGAAAUAUUACCCUCGAGUAUUUGAAAGGGGGCAGAUCUAAUGGUGCUGUAGCCGGGUUCCUUGCAGAGUUUCCAACCCAUCCCCCUAGCCUAUCUGCAUCAUCGGGUUACCUCUCCCAAACCUGGUGUCUCCCGCCGCCGCCGUCUUGUUGGUCGCUGGACGAAACCAAUCUUCUAAAUCACCAUCUACAUCUCAAGUAGUGGGCGAUGGAGGGGUGGUGAGGCAGCGUCCAGAUCUUGGUGAGGCACGCGGUGAGAAACGAAGACGGGGAAGGCGCCAGAGAUGGAUGGGGCGAUGGUUGACAAGCCAUCCAUGAAGUGGCGGUGGAGGUAGCAUGGAGGUCGGACCAGGCAGCAAACAGGGCACGUCGGCAUCGGGGCGCAGCUGGCGGCGAGUGAUUUGGAGGCGCCGCCGGUGAGAUGAGAUUUGAGUCAGGUGCGAGUUGGUACAGGUGUAUCUGUUGG